GGGGAAUAUUGCACAAUGGGGGAAACCCUGAUGCAGCAACGCCGCGUGAAGGAUGAAGGUUUUCGGAUUGUAAACUUCUUUAGUCAGGGACGAAUAAAUGACGGUACCUGAAGAAUAAGCCACGGCUAACUACGUGCCAGCAGCCGCGGUAAUACGUAGGUGGCGAGCGUUGUCCGGAAUUACUGGGUGUAAAGGGCGUGUAGGCGGGAAUGUAAGUCAGAUGUGAAAUCCCAGGGCUUAACCCUGGAGCUGCAUCUGAAACUAUGUUUCUUGAGUGCCGGAGAGGAUAGCGGAAUUCCUAGUGUAGCGGUGAAAUGCGUAGAUAUUAGGAGGAACACCAGUGGCGAAGGCGGCUAUCUGGACGGUAACUGACGCUGAGGCGCGAAAGCGUGGGGAGCAAAC
rnacentral:rRNA from 1 species